UACGGAGGGUGCAAGCGUUAUCCGGAUUCACUGGGUUUAAAGGGUGCGUAGGCGGGCAGGUAAGUCAGUGGUGAAAUCUCCGAGCUUAACUCGGAAACUGCCUUUGAUACUAUCUGUCUUGAAUAUUGUGGAGGUAAGCGGAAUAUGUCAUGUAGCGGUGAAAUGCUUAGAGAUGACAUAGAACACCUAUUGCGAAGGCAGCUUACUAAGGAGUAACUGACGCUGAGGCACGAAAGUGUGGGGAUCAAACAGG
rnacentral:rRNA from 1 species